rnacentral:rRNA from 1 species
GCCAGACUCCUACGGGAGGCAGCAGUGAGGAAUAUUGGUCAAUGGACGAAAGUCUGAACCAGCCAUGCCGCGUGCAGGAAGACGGCUCUAUGAGUUGUAAACUGCUUUUGUACAAGGGUAAACCUGAAUACGUGUAUUCAGCUGAAAGUACUGUACGAAUAAGGAUCGGCUAACUCCGUGCCAGCAGCCGCGGUAAUACGGAGGAUCCAAGCGUUAUCCGGAAUGAUUGGGCGUAAAGGGUGCGCAGGCGGUCCUGCAAGCCUGGAGUGAAACGCAUGAGCUCAACUCAUGCGUGGCUUUGGAAACUGGAGGACUGGAGAGCAGGAGAGGGCGGUGGAACUCCAUGUGUAGCGGUAAAAUGCGUAGAUAUAUGGAAGAACACCAGUGGCGAAGGCGGCCGCCUGGCCUGUUGCUGACGCUGAGGCACGAAAGCGUGGGGAGCAAAUAGGAUUAGAUACCCGAGUACC